GCUGGGUGUGGUGGCGCAUGCCUGUAAUCCCAGUAGCUUGGGAGGCUGAAGCAGGAGGAUCACAAGUUCAAAGCCAGCCUCAG
rnacentral:sRNA from 1 species